AGUGGGGAAUUUUGGACAAUGGGGGCAACCCUGAUCCAGCCAUGCCGCGUGAGUGAAGAAGGCCUUCGGGUUGUAAAGCUCUUUCAGCCGGGAAGAAAUCACAUGGGUUAAUACCCUGUGUGGAUGACGGUACCGGAAUAAGAAGCACCGGCUAACUACGUGCCAGCAGCCGCGGUAAUACGUAGGGUGCGAGCGUUAAUCGGAAUUACUGGGCGUAAAGCGUGCGCAGGCGGUUUGUUAAGAUAGGCGUGAAAUCCCCGGGCUCAACCUGGGAACUGCGUUUAUGACUGGCAGGCUAGAGUAUGGCAGAGGGGGGUGGAAUUCCACGUGUAGCAGUGAAAUGCGUAGAGAUGUGGAGGAACACCGAUGGCGAAGGCAGCCCCCUGGGCCAAUACUGACGCUCAUGCACGAAAGCGUGGGUAGCAAACAGGAUUAGAUACCCUGGUAGUCCACGCCCUAAACGAUGUCAACUAGGUGUUGGGUGGGUAAAACCAUUUAGUACCGGAGCUAACGCGUGAAGUUGACCGCCUGGGGAGUACGGCCGCAAGGUUAAAACUCAAAGGAAUUGACGGGGACCCGCACAAGCGGUGGAUGAUGUGGAUUAAUUCGAUGCAACGCGAAAAACCUUACCUACCCUUGACAUGUCCAGAAGCUCUUAGAGAUUUGAGUGUGCCCGAAAGGGAACUGGAACACAGGUGCUGCAUGGCUGUCGUCAGCUCGUGUCGUGAGAUGUUGGGUUAAGUCCCGCAACGAGCGCAACCCUUGUCGUUAAUUGCCAUCAUUUAGUUGGGCACUUUAACGAGACUGCCGGUGACAAACCGGAGGAAGGUGGGGAUGACGUCAAGUCCUCAUGGCCCUUAUGGGUAGGGCUUCACACGUCAUACAAUGGUCGGUACAAAGGGUUGCCAACCCGCGAGGGGGAGCUAAUCCCAGAAAGCCGAUCGUAGUCCGGAUCGUAGGCUGCAACUCGCCUGCGUGAAGUCGGAAUCGCUAGUAAUCGUGGAUCAGCAUGUCACGGUGAAUACGUUCCCGGGUCUUGUACACACCGCCCGUCACACCAUGGGAGCGGGUUCCGCCAGAAGUAGGUAGCCUAACCGCAAGGAGGGCGCUUACCACGGCGGGGUUCGUGACUGGGGUG
rnacentral:rRNA from 1 species